ACUUCCUCCUUGUGCCCCGAGGGCCAGCCCGGCACCCAGGCCAGGGCACUUGGACACCACACUGCAGGAGGCUGGUCUCACCCAGGCCUCUGUGGGAAGGGCCGCCAGGCUGAGUGGAGGGCCAGUCACCAACUACAGUGUCCUUCGCAGGCCUGUCCCCCCAGGCAGCAGGAUUCCAGCCCAGGGAUCCCCCAUCCCACCCUGACUGCAUCCCGAGAGGGAGGACGCCACUUCGGAAAGGCUGUUGGGGCAGCACAGGCCCUGGGGCCCUGCUCUGUGACCUUGGGCGGCCCCCUCUGUCUCUCUAGGCCUGUAUCCACCACUGGCAAAGGGGGCAGGGCCCAAGUCUACUCUAAAAGUUCCCCUUUCUCUCCAGAAGCUUUGGAGUCUCCCAAAAUGCCUGCUGGGUCCCUGCAGGACCGGCACCUGUCACCGGAACCUGUCUGGGAGGGAUGAGAACACGCUUUGCAAGAGGAAGCUCUGCCUCCCAGAGCCCUGGGCUCACUCAGGGACCCCGGCCAGCAGCUGCUUCCUCUCCCCACAGCGGAGAGAGACCCAAGGGUCCCAGGGCGGAUGCUUCCCACCAGUCCAGGCCAGCGUGCAGGGUGGCCUCCUAAGUCCUGAUUGACAUAUGGACAAUGGUUCAGAGAGGUUAUGCUACUUGCUCAAGGUCACCCAGCUCCCAGGUCCCUGCUGUCUUCCAGGCCUCUGAGGUCCUAAGCGUCCCUCCAGGCAGGCCACUGCUCAAGCCUGUUCCUCACAUUCUGUGGCAGGUUUGUGUAUCUAAAUCUUUUCCAGUUCCCUGUCGUCCCCCUUCCUUCACCUCAUCAUCCACUGUCGCUGUUUGUUUUCUCUGUUCCUUUCCAGUACUCUACCUGCUCCUCUUAUUUUUAUUUGAGACAGGGUCUUUCUUUGUCACUGAGGCUGGAGUGCAGUGGCACAAACACAGCUCACUGGAGCCCUGACCUCCCAGGUUCAAGUGAUCCCCCGACCUCAGCCCCUUGAGUAGUUGGGACCACAGGCAUGCAUCACCACACUGGGCUAAUUUUUUAUUUUUUGUAGAGAUGGGGUCUCACUGUGUUGCCCAGGCUGGUCUUGCACUCCUGGGCUCAAGAGAUCCUCCCACCUUGGUCUCCCAAAGUGCUGGGAUUCCAGGUGUGCACCACCAUCUGCAGCCUUACUCUUCUCUUCCUCUCUCAGCCCCUCUGCCUCACUAUCCCUCUUUCUGUGUCCCCGACUACAGCCCCCCACACUUCUUCUCAGUCUCAUCUUCAGCUUCCCAUACGGGGCCAUCCUCAUGAAAUCGGGCACUGGGAGGUCCCUGGGGAUUGACAAGCGCCAGCUGUCCCUUGCGGUCCCUCUGCCCCAUGGCUGCAGCAGGGAGGGUGGGCAAAGGGCAGAGGCGACAGUGGCCAGACCUGAAACUGAGACCCAGCUCUGGUUGGGAAAGAAACAAGGAAACAAAAUAACUUGGGGACAGAGGGCGUGGGGUCAUCAGAGUGGGCAAAGGCUGCCCAGGAGUUGUAAAUCAGAGCCGCUCCCGGCUUUAUGAGGCCGAUUUGGGGUUGAGCCUGGACUUCGCCCAGGAAGCAGUGCUGGCAGCACACGGGGCGCCAGGUGUGGGCCCCGGAUGAUAAGAAGCCUCGGUGAAAAGACCAUGGACCUGGGGCCACGAAGACUGGGGCGCCCAGGUGAGCGGGCGUGGGACACUCUCCAGAGCCCUGCCCAAGGUGGAUGCCAGGCAGGGCCCCGGCCUCCAAUUGGCUCCCGCCCCC